rnacentral:rRNA from 1 species
UACGUAGGUGGCAAGCGUUGUCCGGAUUUACUGGGCGUAAAGAGCGCGCAGGCGGUCGUUCAAGUCGCGUGUGAAAGCCCCCGGCUCAACUGGGGAGGGUCACGCGAUACUGAUCGACUCGAAGGCAGGAGAGGGUAGUGGAAUUCCUGGUGUAGCGGUGGAAUGCGUAGAUAUCAGGAAGAACACCGGUGGCGAAGGCGGCUCGCUGGGCCAGUUCUGACACUCAUCCGCGAAAGCGUGGGGAGCAAACAGG